CAACACCAGGGUGGAACAAGACUGUGGAACAGGAACUAUCUAAGUCAGGACCACAAUUCAGGCACUGAAGGAGCAAAACUGCAACCCACCCAAUGCAAUUCCUGUAAACACAAUGUGCCAAGGUUUCCAACAAGCACCAGCUCUGGUAACCACAAUCAUUCCAAUCAUUCCCAUUGCAUGCCUUACUGAAACUGGCCAGAAUGGUUUUGGACAACUGGACAGCCCCUGGUCUUUCUGAGGAAGGAAAAAGCAGCUCAGCUGAGAUGCGCCAAGCUGCUUGUAAACCACGAGGGCCGUUGUUAAAUUGUCGGGUGUUCCUGAACCUCUGAAGAUUGCUGUGCUCCACCUUUCAGCGUUUAGCUGAGUACAUCGUCUCCAAGACCUUUCACCAAGCAUCCAUCAGCAAGGAGUUCAAGCUAAGCAAGACAUUACCCCGUUCCAGAGGCUGAGCAAAUCACAUGCCCACCCUGUAACUAAUUAUUUCUAUUGGCUGAUUGGUUUUUAAUGCAUCUGUUUUACAGGUAAACAGAUUUAUCUUAGGAAGGCAUAGGUAAUAAUGAUGCUGGGGGUUUUUUUAUUCAUUGCCUUCCAUCAGAGACUGAAGGGCUGGAUGCUGGAAUAGGUGUCAUUUAGCUGUACAGUCCCUUGAUUUUUGUACCAAGGCAGAAUGGGCAUCUGGGAUUGCUGGGCAAGAUUGGGAAAGCCUGAAAAACUUGUGGAGCCUUCUAACGAGACUCCAUAAAUGGAUGACAUUAACCAUUAACAUGUGGUUUCCAACCCCAGCUCCUCAUCAACCUUCCUUUUAUAAACAGAACUUUUUGUCAGAUUCCCUAGAGAAGCCAA